rnacentral:rRNA from 2 species
CCGACCUCAGAUCAGGCGAGACCACCCGCUGAGUUUAAGCAUAUCACUAAGCGGAGGAAAAGAAACUAACAAGGAUUCCCUUAGUAGCGGCGAGCGAACCGGGAAGAGC